GCGAUGGUGGUGUAAUGGUUAGCAUGGGUGCCUUCCAAGCAGUCGUUCCGGGUUCGUUUCCCGGCCAUCGCA
rnacentral:tRNA from 1 species